AGAGCGAACGCUGGCGGCAGGCCUAACACAUGCAAGUCGAGCGCCCCGCAAGGGGAGCGGCAGACGGGAGAGUAACACGUGGGAACGUGCCCUUUGGUUCGGAACAACACAGGGAAACUUGUGCUAAUACCGGAUAAGCCCUUACGGGGAAAGAUUUAUCGCCAAAGGAUCGGCCCGCGUCUGAUUAGCUAGUUGGUGAGGUAACGGCUCACCAAGGCUACGAUCAGUAGCUGGUCUGAGAGGAUGAUCAGCCUCACUGGGACUGAGACACGGCCCAGACUCCUACGGGAGGCAGCAGUGGGGAAUAUUGGACAAUGGGCGCAAGCCUGAUCCAGCCAUGCCGCGUGAGUGAUGAAGGCCCUAGGGUUGUAAAGCUCUUUUGUGCGGGAAGAUAAUGACGGUACCGCAAGAAUAAGCCCCGGCUAACUUCGUGCCAGCAGCCGC
rnacentral:rRNA from 1 species